UACUUUAUACUCUACUCUGUAGUAGUAGGUCGUGGUUGUCUGUAAUACGAAGCCACAUCGGAUCGCCAAAGCCCGGAUGCUAAAAAGCUGCCAUUACCAACAAUACUUUUUAUGUGGCAACUUAUGUUUUCCUGCAAAAUAUAUGGAGUACAGUAACAGAACGAAGUGAUGCACAGAGUGAACUUUCCCUUGCCGCUUUCAAGCCUCGUAGAAGCAACGGAAUGACACCUAACAUUGCUUGAAGUUUAAUUCAUUCAUCGAGACAGCAGUCGCUAUCAUCGAGAUAUUUUUGCUGCAUUGUGUCCUGUACCUGCACAACUUAUUUACAAAACAACCUCGGAGUGGUGCGGCAUCAUGGCCAGUUACAGCUCAGUUUCUAGUGUCAAAGUCGCGGCACUAUCACAGUAUGACAGACAUCAUGACAUCCCUGAUGAAACUAAUGGCUUCUUCAGCCAGGUUCAUGCCUAGAAACGCUGCAUAUACCAUAAUGGUUAUGUUCUACAGCAUAAAAACGUUGAUUCCAAAGACGAAUAAAAUAAGUAUGUAAAGAGA